CGUACUCAGUUCGGAUUGUAGUCUGCAACUCGACUACAUGAAGCUGGAAUCGCUAGUAAUCGCGAAUCAGAAUGUCGCGGUGAAUACGUUCCCGGGUCUUGUACACACCGCCCGUCACACCACGAGAGUUUACAACACCCGAAGUCAGUGGCCUAACCGCAAGGAGGGAGCUGCCUAAGGUGGGGUANAUGAUUGGGGUGAAGUCGUAACAAGGUAAC
rnacentral:rRNA from 1 species